UUUAUAAUUCUUAUUUUAUAAUUGCAUUCUUUCUUUGGAUAAUAUUGAGCAGUGUGCUUAGGUUCUCCACAAUAUAAGCACAAUCUUUUUUGAUGGCAAUGAGUCUUUACUUGCUCACUAAGAAAUGUAUAUAUUGCAUCAAUUUGUAUAUUUUCUACUUUGAAAUGUAUGUAUUGGGGAGGCGUUGGUAUUGCCAUUGAAUUAUAGUAAUAUUGAGACUUACUUAUUUGACUUUAAGAUUAAAAUUUAAAAAGUUGAUUAUCACUCUUCACAGCAAAGUCAAUUGCUUGACUCAAU
rnacentral:lncRNA from 1 species